AAGAUCAUACUUCAUAGGAUCAUUUCUAUAGUAUGAUUAGCGAGUUCACUCACGGUAAAAGGGCCUAUUGUACCAUUUUGAUGG
rnacentral:snoRNA from 1 species